rnacentral:rRNA from 1 species
AGCAGCCGCGGUAAUUCCAGCUCCAAUAGCGUAUAUUAAAGUUGUUGCAGUUAAAAAGCUCGUAGUUGAACUUCGGGAUCAAUGGAUCGGUCAUGCCAUCGGUAUGUACUGGUCUCAUUGGUUCUCACCUUCUAAGGAACCUUAAUGUCAUUCAUUUGAUGUUUUGGGGAAUUAGGACUGUUACCUUGAAAAAAUUAGAGUGUUUAAAGCAGGCUAACGCUUGAAUACAUUAGCAUGGAAUAAUGAAAUAGGACAUCGCAUUCUAUUUUGUUGGUUUCUAGGAUCGAUGUAAUGAUUAAUAGGGAUAGUUGGGGGCAUUAGUAUUCAAUUGUCAGAGGUGAAAUUCUUGGAUUUAUUGAAGACUAACUACUGCGAAAGCAUUUGCCAAGGAUGUUUUCAUUAAUCGAGAACGAAAGUUAGGGGAUCGAAGACGAUCAGAUACCGUCGUAGUCUUAACCAUAAACUAUGCCGACUAGGGAUCGGAUGAUGUUAAUUUUUUAAUGUACUCUA